ensembl:lncRNA
CUCACCCUUCCUUCAAUUAUAUUUCUUGCGCCCUACACUCUUGGCAGCUCCAUUCCCAAUGGCACAUUCUAGAACCUUUAGCAACCUGAAAGUUCAUGAGACAGAUGUGACUGCAUUCCAUAAAAAGCAAGUGGUUCCUUAGGAGAGGACUCUGCAGGCACUUGGAACCACCCCUUGCCUCAAGCCUGAAUUUCAGCAGGAGAUCUUCUCUGCACCCUGCUUGUGCUGCUAAUUGGGAUGUGGAGAAGUGUGGUUUGAAGGAUGUGGUGAAGGAAGAAGGCAACCAGGAAGCCUUCCACAUGUGAACUGAAGAUGUUAAGCUACAUUUUGGAUUACAGCUUGUUCUGCAGUGCGG